AGCGCAGGCGGGUUGGCAAGUCCUUGGUGAAAUCCUGAGGCUUAACCUCAGGACUGCCAAUGAUACUGCCGAUCCUGAGUGCAGAAGAGGAAGACGGAAUUCCUGGUGUAGCGGUGAAAUGCGUAGAUAUCAGGAAGAACACCGGUGGCGAAGGCGGUCUUCUGGUCUGUAACUGACGCUCAUGCUCGAAAGCGUGGGGAGCAAACAGGAUUAGAUACCCUGGUAGUCCACGCCCUAAACGAUGGAUACUCGAUGUCGGGUCGCAAGGCCCGGUGUCCAAGCUAACGCGUUAAGUAUCCCACCUGGGGAGUACGAUCGCAAGGUUGAA
rnacentral:rRNA from 1 species